UAUCCUUUGCUUAUCCUGCAGGCUAAGGAUAAUUGGCUCAUCCUCUGGUUCUCUAGGACCUAGCAUAGAGCCUGGCACAUAGAAGAUGACCCAGCACAUGUCUGAAGAAUGAAUGUAUCAACAUGAGUGGAAGAACUGAGGAUUCGAGGAGCCUAUGGGAUGAGGGGACAUCCAUGCUUCAUGGCUGAAGCCUGCUGUGGAUGGACAGCUCUAUGCAGGGCUCUCCGUCAACCAGGAGAAGGGAAUCCUAUGUCAAAUAGCACCACCUGGCUGGAGUCACUCUGGUAGAAACAAGUGGGUCCCAGCAGAAAGAAGAAUGUCUUCACCUCACUGGCUCUCCAAUGAUGCCAUCAACACUUGCUUCUUUAAGUUGCCUGACAACGUGGCCUAGAAGCACUGUCUCCCUGGGAACUGCCAGCUCCGAGAGUCCGAGACUCUCAAGAUGCUGGAUGGAGAGCAACUACUCUGCCAAAAAGGGAGAGAGAAUAUUCUUCUUCGAAGCGUGGGCCUAUGUGAUGACACGGAAGAGAGUGUGUGGAAACAUCCUCCUGCACGAGCCACACACGGAUCACACGGCAGCUUCUGGGGCCAAAGGAGCUUCAAGCACCCCUCAGUUGUCAGCAGAGAACAGAAAGUCUUGAAGCCCAGAACUUCCAGGCACAUGUCUCACUCUUAUAUUUUAAAAAGCCUAUUACAUUGGUUUUAACAACUCGCUAAGUUUAGAUGAUUUCUAUUUUAUGUGGCAGCUUUGAAGCAUGCAUAUAUUUCUGUUUACAGUGGGGUCUAUUUAUAGAACGACCAAAAUGGCCAAUGACACCGUGUGUCCAUCACGACCAAGAAGCUAAAAGCUUAUGGAAGUGUUGAUAUUUCUGCUCUCAAACUCACGAUUGAGUUACUUAGCUGCUUUAUUCAGGGCUCUUAGCAAAAUGAAAGGGUGUUAAAAAGAAUCCAUCAAUGAGUCCCAGGACAAAGUUUUAUCAGCAAACACAAUUUUGAAGUACUAACUAUCCACAAAUCAGAUGACGAUCAUAAGUUAAACUUCGAUGGCCUUGUUAAAGGAUGUGUCAACAGAGGCACAAUCUAUGCUAUAAUCAACUUCAGUCAACUAACAAACAUGAAUGACAACUUUCAGUCCUUCAUUUAACAUGUAUUUAUUGCAAUACUUAAAAAUAUUGAAAAAUGUAAAAGCCCUCGUAAUAACCUUCUCCCAAGUUACAUAAGCACUGGGACCCAGCAUAAAUUGUUGCUUUGAAUUUUAAAUAGAUUUUCGAUGUAGUUUAUUGGACAACUGGGAUACUUUCAUGGCCCAUGUUUUGUCACCCUAUUACCGGCACCUAACACGUAUUGGGUAUUCAAUAAAUGUGUUAAAUUAAAUUGAGCCUUUUUCA
rnacentral:lncRNA from 1 species